rnacentral:rRNA from 1 species
AGACCGAUAGCGAACAAGUAGAGUGAUCGAAAGAUGAAAAGCACUUUGGAAAGAGAGUUAAAAAGUACGUGAAAUUGUUGAAAGGGAAGCGCUUGCAACCAGACUUGUCCGCAGUUGCUCAGCCGGUCUCCUGACCGGCGUACUCUUCUGCGGCCAGGCCAGCAUCAGUUCGGGCGGUCGGAUAAAGGCCUCGGGAAUGUAGCUCCUCUCGGGGAGUGUUAUAGCCCGGGGUGGAAUGCGGCCAGCCUGGACUGAGGAACUCGCUUCGGCAAGGAUGCUGGCGUAAUGGUUGUAAGCGGCCCGUCUUGAAACACGGACCAAGGAG